CUACGGGUCGCUGCAGUGAGGAAUAUUGCGCAAUGGGGGAAACCCUGACGCAGCGACGCCGCGUGGAUGAUGAAGGCCUUCGGGUCGUAAAAUCCUGUCAGAAGGAAAGAAGUGUAUGGUAGCUAAUAUCUGCCAUACUUGACGGUACCUUCAAAGGAAGCACCGGCUAACUCCGUGCCAGCAGCCGCGGUAAUACGGGGGGUGCAAGCGUUGUUCGGAAUUACUGGGCGUAAAGCGCGCGUAGGCGGUUUUAUAAGUCAGAUGUGAAAGUCCACGGCUCAACCAUGGAAGUGCAUUUGAAACUGUAAGACUUGAGUAUUGGAGGGGGUAGUGGAAUUCCCGGUGUAGAGGUGAAGUUCGUAGAUAUCGGGAGGAAUACCGGUGGCGAAGGCGACUAUCUGGCCAAAUACUGACGCUGAGGUGCGAAAGCGUGGGGAGCAAACAGGAUUAGAUACCCUUGUAGUC
rnacentral:rRNA from 1 species